rfam:Corynebacterium pollutisoli strain VDS genome assembly, contig: Ga0138996_104
GGGGCUGAUUCAGGUUUCGACUUCGUACAUUGAGCCAGGGGAAGCGUGCCGGUGCAGGCUGAGGACCACCGUAAGCGUCGCAGCAAACCCAUAAGCGCCGAGAACACUCAGCGCGACUACGCCCUCGCUGCCUAAGUAGCGACCGCGUGUCUGUCAGACCGGGCUCGUUCCCGACCCGGACCCUGGCAUCGACUAGGGAACUUGCCGUCCGGCCGCGUCAGCGGGGUUGGACGGGACACCUACCGCUGACUGGGCCCAUCAUCCGGAACGUGUUCGUCCGAGCCGGAGGGCCGAGCAGAGAUCCAGCGCGAACUGCGCACGGAGAAGCCCUGGCGAGGUGACGGAGGACCCGGGUUCAAUUCCCGGCAGCUCCACCG